GGGGACCUCGAAAUCUGGGCACAACAGAUUCUUGAUGUUAUUACUUGGACCUCAUAUAAAUCAUUUUGAAUUUCUUGUUGGGCGCCAAGAUAUUCAUCAUUAUGUCCAAGAAUUGCUGAAUACCUGGGUGUUGGUUUCCUGUCAAGCUUUGGUCAGUGAGGAAGGAACAGUUGGCAGUGAUGUGUUGGCCAUCAGCACACUGACUCCACACUGGCAUGUUCAGAGAACCCUCUGCACUUCUGAACCUGGGUCUGUUCUCAACUGGCGUGGCCUCUCUCGUCAGAGAGCUCAGUGAGGAUUCUAUUUGGACCAUCGCUCUCCCCACUGUUCAGGUUUGGAAUCAACUUGUCAAAUUCUGUGGAAAAGUCUACUGUGAUUCUUACUGAAUUGUGCUGGGUGGAGCUGCUAUCUAUAAGAAAGAACCUUCUCCCAAACAUGGACAUGAUAUGCAACUCUCGGCACUUCCUGCUCCUCACCCCGCAGUGAUUUUUGACUUGCAGAUGUGAACUGUUAUUUGCAGGCUCUAUAACUGUUUGUGAUUCUGCCUCCCAGAUUUAACACAGAACUGGCGCCUUUUUCUAAUACUCACCUCUUUACUUAUCACUGCCAUGGGAUCACACAGUUGUGAGUAUUUUUUUUUUUUUUUUGACAAGCCAAAAAUCAAAUGGAACAAAAAAUGGCUGCAGAUGCAAUUUUCCUGGCUUCCGGGGAGCAGUGUAAGAAGGUGAAGACAUAAGCUUUGUGGUUGCUCAAAUCUAGCCCAUGCAAUCAGCAGCUGUGGGACCUCAGGCAGGUCUGAGGGCUUAUCCUCUGGGAGCUGCCCUGCAAAAUGGGCAUGGUGUUGCAUGGUCCAGAGGUUAGUGUGAGCUGCAUGAAAGGAAGGCACCCAGCCUGUGCCUAGAGGUGUUCAAUAUACAGGCUGAGCAUCCUUAAUCUGAAAAUAUGAAAAUUGAAAUGCUCCAAAAAUCCAACAUUUUUGAGCAUUGUUUCAGCACUCAAAAAGUUUUGAUUUCAUAAGCCAGACUCAGAAAGACAAGUAUCACAUCUUAGGUAAUAUAUGGAGUCUUAAAAAAAAAAGGAAGACUAUUAGGCAGGAGGAAAAGAAUAAAAGGGAGGUGGUGGGUGUAAGGAAGUGUAACGGGGGCAUGGAUAUGAUCAAUGUACGUUAUAUGUAUGUAUG